AGUUAUCAUUUUGUCACCAAUUUUGGUGAUUAUUGUGAGUUACUGGCAACAGUCACCAAAAUUGGUGACAAAAUGGUGACUAU
rnacentral:miRNA from 1 species